rnacentral:lncRNA from 1 species
UUUGAUGAAAGGAAGAGAGCAUAACUAGGGGUUCAAAUUCCCUCUAACGCUUUUUGCAAUUCAAACUAGCUUGAACCCGAGAAGCUGCAGAAGAUGAGUAUGAAAGGUAUAUGGUUGGAUGAUUAUCUGUGGGCAACAUUAGCGUUUGAGUUUUUCUCACUUUGGGAGGUGUUGUUAGUAUCUAAACAUGCAUGGCUCGCAAGGGCUGCCCCAAUUGUUGCGCAUAGUAAACUUGAUUUGGAGAGGUGGAAAGGUUCGGGUAGGACGGAUUGCCCUAAUUUGGUGAUUCUUGAUUGACGGGGAGACUUCACACAUUUUUUUUUAUUUGUUCGAUGUUUUUGUUUUCUUUCCCUCUUUUUUUUGGAGUGAUUGUGUCAUUCACCACAUCAUUUCGUUUCAGAGUUAAAUUCGUGAGAAAGAUUAGGACAAAUAGUCUUCAGUCAGCGUGGACUUUUAUUGGCUUGUACUGUGGCUAAAGGUCAAAGGGUUUUGAAAUAAAUGGAUAAUGAAGGCACAAAUAAGUGUUUGGCAGUCAAAUUGUUUCAACAAGAAUCAUUUGCAAGGUGUCGAGUCAAUUAUCCCUAGAGAUUUGAAACUUUGGGCAUCCUUUUAUUUUCAUUGUUUAUUUUUUCUUCUUUUCUUCCCCUUUUGGGUUGCUUGCUUCGUUGUCUCUGUUGUGUACUUCUUUGAAACUUUAUUUUUUUUCAUUUCUUUUUCCUUUUUUUUUUCAGAAAUUCUCUCCUUGAUUUUGGAUGCCCUUGAUGUACCCUUUAGGUUGACGUCGAUGUGCUAAUGAUUCUUGUCAAGGGUGAUGAAAACAAUUAUAAUUUAUGGCUCAACAAGGGUGCAAUUGGAUAAACUUCUUUUGACGUUUGGGUAAAGAAAAAUGGCCAUACUUCACUCUGAAUCAUUGCUUGCCUUACUUUCUCGCAACUUUAACCCUAAAAUAAAACUCUGUAGUGGUGACACAUCGACCUCAUUAUUUUUCUUUCCCUUAUUUUUUUUAUUUAUUUUUUAUCUCCCCAAUCAACAUAUCGUUAGGGAUGUGUACCAUGAUGGACACUGCCCCAGAAUUAUAUUCAUGACAAUCUUUUGUUUUAAUGGGAAACGAAAAGGUUGAGGGUUCAAGUAGUAUGAAUACAGAUGCUCUAGCAGGAAAAGAACGAUGGUUACCCCCAAAACCUUGCAUCAAGAGGAAACCCAUCUUUGAUAUUUUUCAAAACUUAUUUUGCUUUUGCUUUCUGAAAACACGAUGCCCUUGACAACCUUAUUGACAACGAAUUCAACAUAUGUCUUUUCUUUUGCUUUUUCUCUUUUCUUUUUUUUUUGUUCACG